AUUUUUUUUGCUAAAUUAUAGAGGCAUUGCCAAAAGAUGUUUUGUUCACUUCCUGUAGAAAAUGCUGAGCAAAUCCAUAUAAUAGGAAAAGCAUAUCAUGAUGAAGGCAAUGUCUCUGAACUGUAUUUUUGUGUAUUAUUCCUUCUUUUCCACUGCAGCAUUUAAGUAAGGGUGGGUUGUCAGAUUUACAAGUUCUGGUUCUGAUACUAAUGUUAUGGCCCUAAGACAAUGUCAGGUAAUGUCAGGUCACAUAACAUCCCCAUGCACCUGGAUCUGAAACAAUAAAGCAGGGCUCAAGUUCAAGCCGGUUUUGGAAGGUCAAUCCAGGCCUAAAGGAAUGUUUAUAUUCUCAUUCUGAAACAUCUUUCCUUUUUUUUUUUUAACCUUAAAAAUCUUCAGAAGUGAUUUACUAGAACCUGUUUCAGAUUUCCUCACAUGGCUCAGCAGAAAUGAAUCUGACUAGUAUCCAUGAGGAUGCAGGUUUGAUCCCUGGCCUCACUCAGUGUGUUAAGGAUCCUGUGUUGCCAUGAGCUGUGGUGUAGGUCGAAGAUGUGGCUCAGAUCUAGCGUGGCUGUGGCUGUGGUGAAGGCCAGGAUCUACAGUUCCGAUUUGACCCCUAGCCUGGGAACCUCCAUAUACCACACGUUCAGCCCUUAGAAAGACAACAAACAAACAAAAAAAGUGCCUCCUUCCCAGUUUAGUAGACUAUAGGGAAAAGCAAGAGGUUUGGUAGUUGGCAAAUGGCCUCAAAAUAUUUAGGCAUCUCACUCAUGUUUGAAAUAAAUGCAACUUUCUUCCUUUUUAAAGAGUGGCAAGUGCCAGCAUACUACUGAUUUUAGGCCAGAAGCAAAUCUACUGGCCUAAAAUCAGAAAAAAGCUGUUUAAAAGUUUUUCUUUUCUGGAGUUCCCACUGUGGUACAGAGGAAACAAAUCCAACUAGGAACCCCCAUGAAGUUACAGGAUGGAUCCCUGGCCUCACUCGGUGGUUAAGGAUCUGGCAUUGCCAUGAGCUGUGGUGUAGGUCGCAGACACAGCUCAGAUCUGGCAUUGCUAUGGCUGUGGCAUAGGCCAGCAGUUACAGCUCUGAUUUGACCCCUGGGAACGUGGAAACCUCCAUAUGCCACUGAGGCAGCCCUAAAACAAAAAUAAGCAAAAGAAAAAAAAGUUUUUAUUUUCUGUUUAUAACUUAGGUUGAUGUAGUUCUCUACACUGCUCUGGCUAUGUUAGUUACAAGAUAGGAAAUUAUUUUGAAAACCCUUACCGAACUAUUGCUGUCAUAGAUCAUGUGUAUCAUGAUGAAGGCAAAGUCUCUGAACUGUAUUUUUGUGUAUUAUUCCUCCUUUUCCACUGCAGCAUUUAAGUAAGAGUGGGGAUGCCAGAUUUACAAGUUCUGGUUCUGAUGUUAAUGUUAUGGCCCUAAGACAAUGUCGGGUCACAUAACAUCCCCAUACCACCACCUCGGUUUCCCCAGACAUGAAAUUAAGAAGCUGUUCUUGUGGUUGUGUGGCUCAGUGGGUUAAGAACCACACAUCCAUGAGGAUGCAGGUUUGAUCCCUGGCCUUGCUCAGUGGGUUAAGGAUCUGGUGUUGCUGCAAGCUUUGGCGGAGGUCACAGAUGCAACUUGGAUCCGGUGUUCCUGUGGCUGUGGUAUAGGCCCUAGCUGCAGCUUUGAUUUGACCCCUAGCCCAGGGACUUCCAUAUGCUGCAGGUGUGGCUGUAAAAAAGAUAAAGAAAUUUUUUUAAAGUUAAAUUAGGAAGCUAAUUCCUAUUCUCUCACACACGAAUGUUUUGAGAGUGAAUGGAAAAAGAAAGUGUCUGAAGCAUUUUCAGGGGAAAAAAACCUGCAUAAAACCGAGAUAGUGAUUUUUUUUUUAACCUUUUUUAGCUAAGCCAUCUUUUUAAACAUUAAAGAAAAGUUAGUCAACAAGUACCUACUUACCAAAAAACUGACUUUCUUUUAAUGGGUCUAGCAUGAUAUUGGCCUCUUAAUCCAGUAAGUCCCGUGGAAUAAGAGGAUGGAAAGUGUCACGAAAUUAUUAUUUCAUCUGACUCUGAAACGUGCGGAAAGCUCUAAAUUAGUCGUUUUGAAUGACUCUAACACAGACUCACCAUGGGCCCUGAGUCAUCGAACAUAUCUGUAACUGUUUCUUUCAUCUAUAAAAUUAAGAUAAAGCACCUACCUCCUAAUAUGUUAUAAGGAUUCAAUGUCUAUGACUGGAGUUCUUGUCGUAGCUCAGCAGAAAUGAAUCCAACUAGGAACCAUGAGGUUGCAGGUUCAGUCAGUCUCUGGACUCGCUUAGUGGGUUGAGGAUCUGGCAUUGCCAUGAGCUUCGGUAUGGGUCGCAAACGUGGCUCAGAUCUGAUGUUGCUGUUGCUAUGGUGUAGGCUGACAGCUGGAGCUCUGAUGAGACCCCUGGCCUGGGAACCUCCAUAUGC
rnacentral:lncRNA from 1 species